rnacentral:sRNA from 1 species
CUAUAGCCCCAAUUGUGGUGGAAAUCCCUUUUUUGAAAAGAACAAUCAAAAAAGACUGUAACUGAAAGCAGGAAAUAGC